rnacentral:rRNA from 1 species
GGUUAAGCGACUAAGCGUACACGGUGGAUGCCCUGGCAGUCAGAGGCGAUGAAGGACGUGCUAAUCUGCGAUAAGCGUCGGUAAGGUGAUAUGAACCGUUAUAACCGGCGAUUUCCGAAUGGGGAAACCCAGUGUGAUUCGUCACACUAUCAUUAACUGAAUCCAUAGGUUAAUGAGGCGAACCGGGGGAACUGAAACAUCUAAGUACCCCGAGGAAAAGAAAUCAACCGAGAUUCCCCCAGUAGCGGCGAGCGAACGGGGAGCAGCCCAGAGCCUGAAUCAGUGUGUGUGUUAGUGGAAGCGUCUGGAAAGGCGCGCGAUACAGGGUGACAGCCCCGUACACAAAAAUGCACAUGCUGUGAGCUCGAUGAGUAGGGCGGGACACGUGGUAUCCUGUCUGAAUAUGGGGGGACCAUCCUCCAAGGCUAAAUACUCCUGACUGACCGAUAGUGAACCAGUACCGUGAGGGAAAGGCGAAAAGAACCCCGGCGAGGGGAGUGAAAAAGAACCUGAAACCGUGUACGUACAAGCAGUGGGAGCACGCUUAGGCGUGUGACUGCGUACCUUUUGUAUAAUGGGUCAGCGACUUAUAUUCUGUAGCAAGGUUAACCGAAUAGGGGAGCCGAAGGGAAACCGAGUCUUAACUGGGCGUUAAGUUGCAGGGUAUAGACCCGAAACCCGGUGAUCUAGCCAUGGGCAGGUUGAAGGUUGGGUAACACUAACUGGAGGACCGAACCGACUAAUGUUGAAAAAUUAGCGGAUGACUUGUGGCUGGGGGUGAAAGGCCAAUCAAACCGGGAGAUAGCUGGUUCUCCCCGAAAGCUAUUUAGGUAGCGCCUCGUGAAUUCAUCUCCGGGGGUAGAGCACUGUUUCGGCAAGGGGGUCAUCCCGACUUACCAACCCGAUGCAAACUGCGAAUACCGGAGAAUGUUAUCACGGGAGACACACGGCGGGUGCUAACGUCCGUCGUGAAGAGGGAAACAACCCAGACCGCCAGCUAAGGUCCCAAAGUCAUGGUUAAGUGGGAAACGAUGUGGGAAGGCCCAGACAGCCAGGAUGUUGGCUUAGAAGCAGCCAUCAUUUAAAGAAAGCGUAAUAGCUCACUGGUCGAGUCGGCCUGCGCGGAAGAUGUAACGGGGCUAAACCAUGCACCGAAGCUGCGGCAGCGACGCUUAUGCGUUGUUGGGUAGGGGAGCGUUCUGUAAGCCUGUGAAGGUGUGCUGUGAGGCAUGCUGGAGGUAUCAGAAGUGCGAAUGCUGACAUAAGUAACGAUAAAGCGGGUGAAAAGCCCGCUCGCCGGAAGACCAAGGGUUCCUGUCCAACGUUAAUCGGGGCAGGGUGAGUCGACCCCUAAGGCGAGGCCGAAAGGCGUAGUCGAUGGGAAACAGGUUAAUAUUCCUGUACUUGGUGUUACUGCGAAGGGGGGACGGAGAAGGCUAUGUUGGCCGGGCGACGGUUGUCCCGGUUUAAGCGUGUAGGCUGGUUUUCCAGGCAAAUCCGGAAAAUCAAGGCUGAGGCGUGAUGACGAGGCACUACGGUGCUGAAGCAACAAAUGCCCUGCUUCCAGGAAAAGCCUCUAAGCAUCAGGUAACAUCAAAUCGUACCCCAAACCGACACAGGUGGUCAGGUAGAGAAUACCAAGGCGCUUGAGAGAACUCGGGUGAAGGAACUAGGCAAAAUGGUGCCGUAACUUCGGGAGAAGGCACGCUGAUAUGUAGGUGAAGUCCCUCGCGGAUGGAGCUGAAAUCAGUCGAAGAUACCAGCUGGCUGCAACUGUUUAUUAAAAACACAGCACUGUGCAAACACGAAAGUGGACGUAUACGGUGUGACGCCUGCCCGGUGCCGGAAGGUUAAUUGAUGGGGUCAGCGCAAGCGAAGCUCUUGAUCGAAGCCCCGGUAAACGGCGGCCGUAACUAUAACGGUCCUAAGGUAGCGAAAUUCCUUGUCGGGUAAGUUCCGACCUGCACGAAUGGCGUAAUGAUGGCCAGGCUGUCUCCACCCGAGACUCAGUGAAAUUGAACUCGCUGUGAAGAUGCAGUGUACCCGCGGCAAGACGGAAAGACCCCGUGAACCUUUACUAUAGCUUGACACUGAACAUUGAGCCUUGAUGUGUAGGAUAGGUGGGAGGCUUUGAAGUGUGGACGCCAGUCUGCAUGGAGCCGACCUUGAAAUACCACCCUUUAAUGUUUGAUGUUCUAACGUUGACCCGUAAUCCGGGUUGCGGACAGUGUCUGGUGGGUAGUUUGACUGGGGCGGUCUCCUCCUAAAGAGUAACGGAGGAGCACGAAGGUUGGCUAAUCCUGGUCGGACAUCAGGAGGUUAGUGCAAUGGCAUAAGCCAGCUUGACUGCGAGCGUGACGGCGCGAGCAGGUGCGAAAGCAGGUCAUAGUGAUCCGGUGGUUCUGAAUGGAAGGGCCAUCGCUCAACGGAUAAAAGGUACUCCGGGGAUAACAGGCUGAUACCGCCCAAGAGUUCAUAUCGACGGCGGUGUUUGGCACCUCGAUGUCGGCUCAUCACAUCCUGGGGCUGAAGUAGGUCCCAAGGGUAUGGCUGUUCGCCAUUUAAAGUGGUACGCGAGCUGGGUUUAGAACGUCGUGAGACAGUUCGGUCCCUAUCUGCCGUGGGCGCUGGAGAACUGAGGGGGGCUGCUCCUAGUACGAGAGGACCGGAGUGGACGCAUCACUGGUGUUCGGGUUGUCAUGCCAAUGGCACUGCCCGGUAGCUAAAUGCGGAAGAGAUAAGUGCUGAAAGCAUCUAAGCACGAAACUUGCCCCGAGAUGAGUUCUCCCUGAC